UACGGAGGGGGCUAGCGUUGUUCGGAAUUACUGGGCGUAAAGCGCACGUAGGCGGCUUUGUAAGUUAGAGGUGAAGGCCCGGGGCUCAACUCCGGAAUUGCCUUUAAGACUGCAUCGCUCGAAUUGUGGAGAGGUAAGUGGAAUUCCGAGUGUAGAGGUGAAAUUCGUAGAUAUUCGGAAGAACACCAGUGGCGAAGGCGACUUACUGGACACAUAUUGACGCUGAGGUGCGAAAGCGUGGGGAGCAAACAGG
rnacentral:rRNA from 1 species